UACAUGGGGUGCAAACGUUGCUCGGAAUUAUUGGGCGUAAAGAGCUCGUAGGCGGUUCGUCGCGUCGGCUGUGAAAACCUGAGGCUCAACCUCAGGCCUGCAGUCGAUACGGGCGGACUUGAGUACUGCAGGGGAGACUGGAAUUCCUGGUGUAGCGGUGAAAUGCGCAGAUAUCAGGAGGAACACCGGUGGCGAAGGCGGGUCUCUGGGCAGUAACUGACGCUGAGGAGCGAAAGCGUGGGGAGCGAACAGG
rnacentral:rRNA from 1 species